rnacentral:rRNA from 1 species
AACGAACGCUGGCGGCAGGCCUAACACAUGCAAGUCGAACGGGUGUAGCAAUACAUCAGUGGCGCACGGGUGAGUAACACGUGGGAACGUGCCCUUCACUACGGGACAACGUCGGGAAACUGACGCUAAUACCGUAUAAUGUCUCCGGACCAAAGAUUUAUCGGUGAAGGAUCGGCCCGCGUCUGAUUAGCUAGUUGGUGUGGUAAUGGCUCACCAAGGCGACGAUCAGUAGCUGGUUUGAGAGAAUGAUCAGCCACACUGGGACUGAGACACGGCCCAGAUUCCUACGGGAGGCAGCAGUGAGGAAUCUUGGACAAUGGGCGCAAGCCUGAUCCAGCCAUGCCGCGUGAGUGAUGAAGGCCUUAGGGUUGUAAAGCUCUUUUGCCGGGGAUGAUAAUGACCGUACCCGAAGAAUAAGCCACGGCUAAAUUCGUGCCAGCCGCCGCAGUAA